UCUUAUCAACCCCAGAGUCCUAAGAUGUUAUUUGAAGGAGGCCAUAAACCAUGAAUGGGUGUUGACAGGACUGAAAGUGGGGGGUGGAGUUGAGUGAGGAAACCUGGUGCUCCCUAAUGAAAGGCAAAGUUUAAACCUGAAAGGCCCUACCCUAAACUUCCACCUCAAGAGGAAGAGAGAGAUGCACACACACACACACACAACCUUAACAUAUCCUGCCUAAGGGAAAAGAAAUUUUUAUUGCUUAGCACCCAGGAACCUGAGAUAUGGACCAUUCUGCUCACCUUUGUACAGUCACAGAACAAAAGGGCAGUCUUUGCCCCCAAAGAGCUGUGUAAAUUAUUGUCAUAAUUAAUCAUCCUUACAGGUCUCUGACGUAAGCAACUCUGAUUACCAAGUGAGAGAGGUUAAAUGAUUGAUCCAAGGCCACAGAGCAAGUCAGUGACAAGAAAGGACUAAACUCCAGAUUCCCAGAGCCACUCCAGUUUCUUUCAACUGAUUCAUCUCUGAAGAAACCCAGCCACCAACAUGCCUCGGAGAGCUGGUUGGAAAAUGCUGAUUAUUUUUCGUGGGAAAAUUAAUUGCCCAUGAAAUUUUGUUUUGGGUAAGAAACCAAAACCUGUAAAGCUUUCCAUUUUUAAAACCAUUUUCAGCCCAAAAAAAGGGCUUUUGGUGAAGAUUUUCAGUGUCUGAAAUCCCAAAGCUGGAAACUUUUACCCCAAACAAAUUUUUUACUAACUAUGUUUGUGUCCUAUUUAUCAUAAAACCAGAUAAUUUCAACUAAAA